CCCAAUCCCCCCACCCGCACCACUCCCUCCCUGCCCCGCGCCCAAUCCCCUCGCCCGCACCGCUCCCUCCCUCCUCGAUCUCUCUCCCUGGCUAGCCGCCAUUGGUGGGAAACCGUAGCCCAUUAUCCCAAUCAACACAGCCGCAUCUCCUCUCCUUCUUUCUCCCUUCUCCCCCCUCCUCCCCUCACCACAGCCGCAACCUAGAGGCUUCGCCGUCCGUUUCGAUGAGAUCCACCACCUCAUGAGGUUCUCAUCUGCCCCAGGUUGCGAGGAAGCCGCGGGAGGAGGAGUGACCUCGGUGCGAGAUAGGUACGGAGGAGGAGCUCAACCAACGCGUCUUCGGCCGGAGGAGGGAAGCAGCGGAUGCGAGCCAUGAGGCGGAUCGGCUGGGCCCAGGUAUGGAGGCGGCUGGGGCGGGCGCGGAGAGGGCCGAUGCGGCGGCGGCCAAGGACAGGGAGGACGAGGUUGCAUCCAUCAGCGAGAAGCGGCCGAUCCACCUGCGUGCUGUCACUGCAGGGAUAGCGCCGCCGUCUCCCUCUCCCCUCGUGGCACCUCCCUAUAUGUUGAGGUUGGUCCUGGAAUGGUUGGCUUUGGGACUUUUGGUGGUAGUAUAUUCUUAUGCCGAUGACAAGCAUUUGCAGGACGAUUAUGUGGUUAUCUGUGGCAGUGUGCUCCUAUCCUCCCCGCCUCCAUACUUCAUUUUUGGAAAACUAAUGAUUUUAAUUCCUGGAUGUCAUAGAUGUUGAGGUUGGUCCUGGAAUGGUUGGCUUUGGGACUUUUGGUGGCAGUAUAUUCUUAUGCCAACGACAAGCAUUUGCAGGAUAAUUAUGUGGUUAUCUGUGGCAGUGUGCUCCUAUCCUCCCCGCCUCCAUACUUCAUUUUUGGAAAACUAAUGAUUUUAAUUCCUGGAUAUCAUAGGUACCAUUGGUUGUGCCUCAGCUUCGUAGCCGAUCUUCGAUCGUCCAUGGCAUCAACACACAAAUUUAUAAUGCAAACCUCAGGUCAAUACCUCCCCUAUUUGAUUUCUGCGGCAGAGUGCUAAUAACUUUUAUUGUUUGUGUUUUUGGAUAAGAUUUGCAUGGUAUUUCUAUCAUUGGUUGAUUUCUUGGAUACUUUCACUAUAGUAGUUGUUCUGCCUCAUCUAUCACUAUCUGUGGGCUUGCUUUGAUUAUGUGUCUCCCAACUUUCUGUAACUAAAAAGCAGCCUAUAAAUGUAGCUUGAAUAAAAAUGGUACCUUUCUGUUUUGUGCAAGUUCAAAGUAUUAGUAGUUUCAGUUUGUCCAAUUUUUGCAGGGAUAUUGUGUGAGGUCUGGUACAAACUUUAAGACAAUCACUUAAUACAUUCAUGGGAUCACCAACUUUUGGCAUUUGUUGAUACUAGCUAGGUGGGGCCAUGAAUUCCUAGAAGAUUGUGGCAAUUAUCCUGCUUCGCUUGCAAGAUUGGUUUCUAAAAAUAUCAUAGUAGUUGUAAUUUCAGAUUGCUGCUGAUUUGACUAAAUAUGUUUUGAUUGUUUUUAAGCUUUGACUCUUUACUGUGUGCACAACUAAUUCAUUCCUAAUUAAAUCUUUCAAUGGUUGAUGGGAACACUACAGAUCUUGCUUCUCUGCUUUUUAAUGUUUCAUAUGUUUUCAUGUACAAACCGAGGCAUGCGGAUGCGGGCGUGAUGGCGGGCAUCUCCAGCAGCGGCGGCGACCUGCAGGCAGGAGGCAACGACUGGGGUGUUUGAUUAGAUCCAGCGCCAUGGCCCGGUCCCUAUAGGAGAGAGAGAUGAGGGACAGAGAGAGAAGGAAGGAGAGGAGGGAGAAAGAGAGAGGGAGUGGACUCUUCAAGAUCGAGGUCACCAUUGGACAGGCCGAGUAUGUCCAUCGACAGCCUGCCCAGUGUCCGGAUUCACCAAACAAUACAACCGGAAACGCUGUCGGCUGCCUGCAGCAGGCACCAAGCCGUCCGCUGUUGUCUCUGCCCGAAGAAGGAUUAUGGUUCUCCACCUCUUUGCUACUCAUAUUAAAAUUCUGCUAUUCCGGAGAAGUUUAGAGCUUCGGCAACCUUUUGAAGACACGAUUUAUAGUUGCGGAGAUAAAACAAUCAAUUAGUUGCGAUGCAUUACAUAAUCUUUUUGCUCUGGACAUUGAUGGGUAUUGCAGACUCCUUUAUUUUUCCACAAAGGACAGGAGUUGUGCCAUUUGACUCGAAGAACAAAACGUUCAUCACAAGGGGGUGGUCUUUAGGAUGUACACAAAAGAGGAAAUUUCAUUUUGUAUAGAACCAAAUUAUAUGAUGUAAUUGACCAUUCUCUUGUACACAAUGUUUAUCAUGUAUUAAGUACAUUUUAUUGUCAAAUAUGUUUACUUUUUUUA